UACAGAGGGUGCAAGCGUUUUUUAAUCGGAAUUACUGGGCGUAAAGCGUGCGCAGACGGUCUCGUAAGUCGGGUGUGAAAUCCCCGGGCUCAACCUGGGAAUUGCAUUCGAAACUGCGAGGCUAGGGUACGGAAGAGGGAAGCGGAAUUUUCUGGUGUAGCGGUGAAAUGCGUAGAUAUCAGAAGGAACAUCAGUGGCGAAAGCGGCUUUCCUGGUCCAGUACCGACGUCGGGCACGAAAAGCGUGGGGGAGCAAACAGG
rnacentral:rRNA from 1 species